GAUGAACGCUGGCGGCGAGCCUAAUACAUGCAAGUCGAGCGAACAGAUGAGGAGCUUGCUCCUCUGACGUUAGCGGCGGACGGGUGAGUAACACGUGGAUAACCUACCUAUAAGACUGGGAUAACUUCGGGAAACCGGAGCUAAUACCGGAUAAUAUAUUGAACCGCAUGGUUCAAUAGUGAAAGACGGUUUUGCUGUCACUUAUAGAUGGAUCCGCGCCGCAUUAGCUAGUUGGUAAGGUAACGGCUUACCAAGGCAACGAUGCGUAGCCGACCUGAGAGGGUGAUCGGCCACACUGGAACUGAGACACGGUCCAGACUCCUACGGGAGGCAGCAGUAGGGAAUCUUCCGCAAUGGGCGAAAGCCUGACGGAGCAACGCCGCGUGAGUGAUGAAGGUCUUCGGAUCGUAAAACUCUGUUAUUAGGGAAGAACAAAUGUGUAAGUAACUAUGCACGUCUUGACGGUACCUAAUCAGAAAGCCACGGCUAACUACGUG
rnacentral:rRNA from 1 species